AUUGAACGCUGGCGGAAUGCUUUACACAUGCAAGUCGAACGGUAGAGGGGGCAACCCCUCGAGAGUGGCGAACGGGUGAGUAAUAUAUCGGAACGUGCCCAGUCGUGGGGGAUAACGUAGCGAAAGUUACGCUAAUACCGCAUACGAUCUAAGGAUGAAAGCGGGGGAUCGCAAGACCUCGCGCGAUUGGAGAGGCCGAUAUCAGAUUAGGUAGUUGGUGGGGUAAAGGCUCACCAAGCCAACGAUCUGUAGCUGGUCUGAGAGGACGAACAGCCACACUGGAACUGAGACACGGUCCAGACUCCUACGGGAGGCAGCAGUGGGGAAUUUUGGACAAUGGACGCAAGUCUGAUCCAGCCAUUCCGCGUGCAGGAUGAAGGCCCUCGGGUUGUAAACUGCUUUUGUACGGAACGAAAAGGUCUCUCUUAAUACGGGGGACUCAUGACGGUACCGUAAGAAUAAGCACCGGCUAACUACGUGCCAGCAGCCGCCGCGG
rnacentral:rRNA from 1 species